CCUACGGGAGGCAGCAGUGAGGAAUAUUGGUCAAUGGACGAGAGUCUGAACCAGCCAAGUAGCGUGAAGGAUGACUGCCCUAUGGGUUGUAAACUUCUUUUAUAUGGGAAUAAAACGUUCCACGUGUGGGAUUUUGUAUGUACCAUAUGAAUAAGGAUCGGCUAACUCCGUGCCAGCAGCCGCGGUAAUACGGAGGAUCCGAGCGUUAUCCGGAUUUAUUGGGUUUAAAGGGAGCGUAGGUGGAUUGUUAAGUCAGUUGUGAAAGUUUGCGGCUCAACCGUAAAAUUGCAGUUGAAACUGGCAGUCUUGAGUACAGUAGAGGUGGGCGGAAUUCGUGAUGUAGCGGUGAAAUGCUUAGAUAUCACGAAGAACUCCGAUUGCGAAGGCAGUUCACUGGACUGCAACUGACACUGAGGCUCGAAAGUGUGGGUAUCAAACAGGAUUAGAUACCCCAGUAGUC
rnacentral:rRNA from 1 species